CUUUUCGUCUCUCUUCCUUCUACUUAUUUCUUCAUCCGCAGGCUCUCCGUCUCUCAGGCUCUUUUUUCUGGUUCUUUCCUAAAUUUUCCAGAAACAGAGGAAAGUGCUCAAGUUCCUCGCCCCGUAUCUUCCUAUUUCCUUCAAUUCCUCGUCUUUUCUCUCUUUUCCUUCUUUCUUCCUCCUUUUUCUUUUCUUCCCCUCUACUUUUUGCUUUCUUUUUUCCAGUACUCUUCUCUAUGCUUCCCCUCCUUUCUUCCAUCCUAUAUUCUCUUCCCCUCGCAUGUUUGCAUUCUGCCUCGGCCCCUUCAUAGCCGAAAUCACCACGGAGGUACGCACCAGAUCAACGGUCCCCCUUGCUUCCGCCGGUCUGUCAAGUCGCCACCUUUCUGUGUUUUCUUCUUCCCUUUCCCACAACUCGUCAACCGCCUGUCGUCCUCAAGUACUCAUCUUGCCGUCGGCCAUCGUCGCGCCACCCGUACUCAGCUUCAUCAUCAUCGUCUGCCCUGUACCGCAACCUAUCUAUUUUAAAUUUUUUCAUUAGAAAAUAUAAUGGAAAUUGAACAUUUGAAAUGAACACAAAACAUAAUAAACCAAAGUGGAGCGAAUAAAAUAUUAAGAAUUUAGUUAUAAUAAAAAUCAAACAUCCGAGACUAAUUUAGUAAUUUACCAUAAUAAUGACAAUACAAAUUAUGAGCAAAAAUUAACAUUUAUAUUCAUCUCUCUACUUUCAUUAUUU
rnacentral:lncRNA from 1 species